AUAUUCAACAGUCAGUUGGCAAUUACACAAGCCAGCACUAUUUCAUUACCACAAGGUGCCAACCGGGGGGAGAUGGAAAGAAAUACUUGUAAAAAGAUGCUGCCAAAAUACAAUUAAAAAUUCCAACAACCAAACUUUUGUAAACAUACCAAAUGAAUGACACACAACUGUAAAAUAAAGCUAAAGCUACAGUGUAAGAUCACCGACAGGCUACACAGGAAUCAAUAUGCUUGUGUAAGUCGGACAGCGUUUCCUGCUGCACAGAAAGGGUUAACCUGAACAUGAGUAAACAUGCGGUAGGACUGACUGCACAUGUUUCUAUCAUAAAACUGACUGCUCC